rnacentral:rRNA from 2 species
UAUGGUCAAGUUACUAAGAGCAUACGGGGGAUGCCUUGGUGCAGGAAGGCGAUGAAGGACGUGGCUAGCUGCGAUAAGCUCCGGGGAGUCGCUAAACAGACUUUGAUCCGGAGAUUUCCGAAUGGGGAAACCCAUCUCGAUAAACUCGGGAUAUCUUCAUCUGAAUCCAUAGGGUGAGGAGGCGAACCUAGGGAAGUGAACCAUCUCAGUACCUAGAGGAGAAGAAAGCAACCGCGAUUCCCUUAGUAGCGGCGAGCGAAAGGGGAACAGCCUAAACCGCAUACAUGUCAUAGCUCGUGCGCGUUGUGUAUGCGGGGUCAUGGGGCUUAACCUGACUUUGGCACGACUGAGUCAAGGAGUUACAAAAGGCAAUUUUAGCUGAAUACUCUGGAAAGUGUAACCAUAGAAGGUGACAGUCUUGUAAGCGAAAAGAUUGUCUCUCCUGGUUGAGUUCCCAAGUACCACGGGACACGAGGAAUCCUGUGGGAAUUCGGGAGGACCAUCUCCUAAGGCUAAAUACUCUCCUGCGACCGAUAGUGAACCAGUACCGUGAGGGAAAGGUGAAAAGUACCCCUGUUAGGGGAGUGAAAUAGUACCUGAAACCGUAUGCUUACAAGCAGUCGGAGCCUUGAUUCGUCAGGGUGACGGCGUGCCUUUUGCAUAAUGAGCCGGCUAGUUAUUCUAUGCGGCAAGGUUAAUCUUGGAGACAAGAGGAGCCGUAGCGAAAGCGAGUCUGAAUAGGGCGAUCAGUCGUGUGGAAUAGACGCGAAGCUGAGUGAUCUACCCUUGGCCAGGAUGAACUUCGGGUAACACCG